rnacentral:rRNA from 1 species
ACAGCAGCCGCCGCGGUAAUACAGAGGGUGCGAGCGUUAAUCGGAUUUACUGGGCGUAAAGCGUGCGUAGGCGGCUAAUUGAGUCGGAUGUGAAAUCCCCGAGCUUAACUUGGGAAUUGCAUUCAAUACUGGUUAGCUAGAGUGUGGGAGAGGAUGGUAGAAUUCCAGGUGUAGCGGUGAAAUGCGUAGAGAUCUGGAGGAAUACCGAUGGCGAAGGCAGCCAUCUGGCCUAACACUGACGCUGAGGUACGAAAGCAUGGGGAGCAAACAGGAUUAGAUACCCCGGUAGUCCCUGUCUCUUAUAC